rnacentral:ncRNA from 1 species
CGACCUCAGAUCAGACGAGAUUACCCGCUAAAUUUAAGCAUAUCAAUAAGCGGUGGAAAAGAAACGAAAACGAAUUCUCCAAGUAGCGGCGAGCGAAACGAGAAAAGUCCAUACACCGAAGUCGGCGAGCAGUUGUGUUCGUCAACAGUGUGGUGUUAAAGGUGUCGUUGCAUGUGCUGAAAUCAGUUCGUAGGCUCCCUUGAUUGGGGCUUCAGAGCGGGUGCAGGACCCAUAACGAACGAUGUUUUGUGCAUGGUGUCGCGGCUCCUAAUCGAGUCGGGUUGCUUGAGACUGCAGCCCAAAGCGGGUGGUAAAUCUCACCCAAGACUAAAUAUUCGUACGAGACCGAUAGCGAACAAGUACCGCGAGGGAAAGUUGAAAAGAACUCUGAAGAGAGAGUUCAACAGGACGUGAAACCGUUG